rnacentral:rRNA from 1 species
AACGAACGCUGGCGGCAUGCCUAACACAUGCAAGUCGAACGAGACCUUCGGGUCUAGUGGCGCACGGGUGCGUAACGCGUGGGAACCUGCCCUUAGGUUCGGAAUAACUCCCCGAAAGGGGUGCUAAUACCGGAUAAUGUCUUCGGACCAAAGUUUGAUCGCCUUUGGAUGGGCCCGCGUUGGAUUAGCUAGUUGGUAGGGUAAAAGCCUACCAAGGCGACGAUCCAUAGCUGGUCUGAGAGGAAGAUCAGCCACACUGGGACUGGGACACGGCCGGGACUCCUGCGGGAGGCAGCAGUGGGGAAUAUUGGAAAGUCGGCGGUAGGCUGAUCGAGCAAUGCCGCGUGAGUGAUGAAGGCCUGAGGGUUGUAAAGCACUUUUACCCGGGAUGAUAAUGACGGUACCGGGAGAAUAAGCUCCGGCUAACUCCGUG